ensembl:lincRNA Platr4 pluripotency associated transcript 4
GAUCGCCAUGAUGGGGAAGAAGGAAGAGGAGACCUAAAGGCCAGCUGACAUGUGAGAAUCAGGGAAAGUGGCCACACGGGCCACUUCCACAGCUGUGUUUGAGCAGGACUUUGGGUCCCUAACCUGCAACUCAGCACUCAGUCCAUCAUGGGCUUUGCUAGUCUCUGUGACUUCUCCAGGGCAGGAAAGUGACAGGUUUCUGCGCAAGGGAGCCCGAGGUACCUGGUUCAGGAUGGAGAGGGCACUUGAGAGGCCUCAAAAGCAAGCACAGUUAGAGGACAUCAGCGAUGUUAAAACCCCACGAGGGUCAACAGUAGCCCAGGCAAAAUAAAGGAGCCUGAAGUGGAAAAACAGAAAUGGAACAAAGCGUUUGUUCUGGAGCACGUGAGAUUGUCCUUCUAAGACAUUUCCAGAAGUAUUCAAAGGAAGAUUUAAUGGGAAAUCAUUAUGCAAAAGAGUCAGUAAUAUAUUUUAGUUUCAAAAAGUACGGAGCGUGACGCCUGUCAAUUAUACCUUCUGCAAAGGUGAGUGGCGGUUGUCCUUGCUGUUCCAAAAUGCAAAGAGAAACAAACAAACAAACAAACAAGCAAACCAGCUACUCCUAUUCCGCACUCCAAACACCAAGCAGAAAUGCUUCUGGGACAAACUGAGCUUCAUUCUUUAUGAAAAUGAAAACACUUCUUUCUGUGCACUAGGAAAAUGUUCUGCCUCUGAGCUGCAAAACCAGCACCAAACUUGAAAAGUUUGUGCAUCAAAGGAAAAAGGCAACCUACAGGAUGGGGGAGAAUAUUUGCAGGACACAUGUCCUGGAAGGAAUACAUAUUUAGACUGAAUAAAAUGAGUAAGAGGAGGGAUAGGGAGUUCGUGUUCAAUGUUGAGAGCUUGGGACAGUUGAGAAAACGCUCCGGAGUGUUCUGCAGAUGAAUGAUGGUGACGACUGCAUCAGUGUGAAUGUCCUUAACGCCGUCAAAAAUUGGUUAUAAUGGCAAAUUUUAUGCUACAUAUGUUUUACUACAAUAAAAAUGCCAGGAAAAUCUAACUGCUCCAAAUCCUGAAUUUAUUAACCCAAUAAAUUAGGAGAUGGUUAUUGACCUAUAAAUGGAUUUGUCAAUUUUUAAAAUGAUUUCCUUUAAAUUGAAUUCUUUCCUAGAGCUUUAUUGUCUCUUCACAAACCAUUAAACACUUGUUAAAGUGUUCAGAGAGGGCUGAGAUGGAGGAGGAAGUGAAAACCAAACAAACAGAUGAGGGACCUUCCCCAAAUGAUGUCUGCUAACAGGCUUCUUGGGUAUUCUAUUUAUAUAGAUUUUACAAGUGUUUUAUUUGAGAGGAAAAAUCCCUAGACCUUACAUAGUACAAUGAACUUCUUAUGCCUGUCAGCUAGAUUUAUUAAUUUUUAACGAGGUGUAUUACUUUUAAAAGCUAUCUAUUUACUAUUGGGGGAGGGAGAAGGACAAAGGACAUCUUGCAGAAGUCUGGUCUCUCCUGCUAUGUGGGUUCUGGAGAUAGGAAAUCAGGCAGGUUGUCAGGCCUAGAAGCAAAGGCCUGUCUGCACUGAGCCAUCUUACUUGUCUUAUUUUGUUACUUUUGAUGACCUAUUUUAGACAUCACUAUUCUAUAGCCCUAAGUAUAACUUCAAGUAUGUAUCUUCCACAAUGACUUUAUGACCAUGAAAUCAAUUCAAGAAAUUUAACAUGUAUGCAGUUCUAUCCAGCGUACAUACAGAUUUCUCAUCCCCCCUUUUACUGUAGUUUAUAGAAAAAGCAAUUCUCUUCCAUAUCUAGAGUUUGACAAGGAAUAUGCAUUGCAUUUGGUUUCUGUGUUCUUUAAUCUCUUGUUGUACAGAACUUCAACCUUUCAUGACAGGUUGAACAAUUUUGGAUCAUACAGGCUGUCAUGGUUUGAAUAUGUUUGGCCCAGGGAGUGGUACUGUUAGGGGUGUGGUCUUCUUGGAAUAGGUGUGUCACCGUGGGCAUGGGCUUUAAGACCCUCAUCCUUAGCUUCUGGAAGUCAGUCUUCCACUAGCAACCUUCAGAUGAAGAUGUAGAACUCUCACCAUCUCCUGCACUAUACCUGCCUGGAUAUCGCCAUGUUCCUGCCUUGAUGAUUAUGGACUGAACCUCUGAACCUGUAAGCCAGCCCCAAUUAAAUUUGUCCUUAUAAG